UCAGCAGAGGUGGUCGCUUUCUCAGAUACAUUCCCCGUCGUGGAGACGUGUUUACCAACAAACUCGAUGAAAUAAUCCCAAGAGAGGCUGGCUGCAGCUCACACGCAUGGCAAAUAACUUGGGCUAGUGUUUUGAAGCAGAGUUGCUAGAGUUUGUACCAAAGCGAAAUUGGAGCACAUUGAUGUCAGCUUGAAUACCGGACCAGGGUGCUGAAGCUGUGAAAAUGCGGAGGACCAACGGUGAUCAGCAUGCGCAAAAGGGACCAUGAUGAGCGGCUGAUCUUGGUGAAGAGUGGCCAGACACAGACGGCAGGCCAGACGAGCGAAGGGCAGUGCAGUGCAGUGUGUGGGACAGGCACCUCAUCAAAUCUGUGCCAGGCUUCUGGGAGCCAGCUGGAUGACAUUGUAACAAAACAUCGUUCAACUGCAGUUUUCAAAAACGAUUUGGAAAAAGGCUGGGAUGUCGUCAUCCCUCCCCUGGCUGUGAGCCUGUGACCACCACCUGCAACUUGGUACAAGGAUGUGACAACAUUAUGUAUCACAUGCAUAGAAGUAGUAUAAAAGUAUAACAUGAAGCGAAAGUUGAGUAAAUUUAGUUUAAAAAAAAAUCUUGACUAGACAGUGUGACGCCAUCGUUUCUUACUUCCCCAAUUCCACCAUCGUCUUGAAAUGUUUCAUCAGCAGCUGAAGUGGAGCAUCAUGAGGCCCCUGGAUACGGUGGAGGUGGAGGAGGAGAGAUGAAGGGUGCAGAGGGCAGCUGAUCAAAGAGUCUCCAAGUAGGCCAUCUUUAUCCUCAAGGAAGGUGGAGGGAGGAGGAAGGUGUUGAAGUGACAGACAGCCAAGACUGGGUUGUCGUCUCUCUUUCCUUCCUCUCUCCUCCUACAGGUGCUGCUGGGUGAGUCAAGCAAGCCCUCUGAGCCCUACAGAUCAUUUUAAACUUGCUUUGAAACUCCCCGAAACUACUUCCUGAUUUCUGACACACACACACCCAAGACACCAAGGCACUCAAGUUGGUGACAGCAGACCUAAAGGGAACAUUUUUGAGGCGGUGACUCACUCUCUCGCUAGCUGGUUCUGUGCUGGGAGGAGGUGUACUCCUAACGGCACCACCCUAUGCCAUCGCCAUGGA